rnacentral:misc_RNA from 1 species
GUAUAACAGUGGGACGCAUAAAUCAUCUUCUGCUGAAAACAAGUUGCCCCUAGCACCAUCCUUGAAUUCUUUUUCUGUUCGGCCAUCUGAUAGCAUCAUUAUGAAUAACGGCUUCCACAACGUCCAGGGGCACAGGUUUCCAUAUGAGCAAGGUCAGAAUCCGCAAGCAAAUUCUCAAAGACCUGUCCAGUCAUCACAUGGAGG